rnacentral:rRNA from 1 species
AUGAUGGAUAAUCUAGCUAUUGUCACGAAGGAGCUAGGUGAUGUGUCGGAUUUUGAGGUUGAUGGCAUCCCAAACCUCUCUGAGAAUGAUGUCAGUGACGAGGAGAUCGAGGCUGAGGAGCUGGCCCGGCGGAUGUGGAAAGAUAAGGUCAGGCUCAAGAGGAUCAAGGAGAAGCAGCAGAGGCUUGCUUUGGAGCAGGCCGAACUGGAGAAGUCUAAACCAAAGAAGCUGUCUGAUCUAGCCCUUCGCAAGAAGAUGGCAAGAGCCCAGGAUGGGAUUUUAAAGUACAUGCUCAAGUUGAUGGAAGUAUGUAAUGCACAGGGUUUUGUUUAUGGGAUCAUUCCUGAUAAAGGGAAGCCUGUCAGUGGAGCAUCAGACAACAUUAGAGCUUGGUGGAAGGAGAAGGUUAAGUUUGAUAAGAACGGGCCAGCAGCAAUUGCAAAAUAUGAGGUUGAGAACUCUCUGUUGGUUAAUGCUAAGAGCAGUGGAACCAUGAAUCAAUAUAGCUUGAUGGAUCUCCAAGAUGGUACUCUGGGCUCAUUGCUUUCUGCAUUGAUGCAGCACUGCAGCCCUCAGCAGCGCAAGUACCCACUGGAUAAGGGUAUUCCACCCCCGUGGUGGCCCUCAGGGAAUGAGGAGUGGUGGAUUGCUUUAGGCCUUCCAAAGGGUAAAACACCUCCAUACAGAAAACCUCACGAUCUUAAGAAGGUUUGGAAGGUUGGUGUGCUGAUGGGUGUGAUCAAACACUUGUCUCCGAAUUUUGAUAAGAUAAGAUAUCAUGUACGGAAGUCAAAGUGCUUGCAGGACAAAAUGACUGCAAAAGAGAGCUUGAUUUGGCUGGUUGUUUUGCAAAGAGAGGAGUAUGUUCACAGUAUUGGCAACGGUGUAUCAGAUACUCAUCUUGUUAACCUAGGGGACAAACAUGAGAGUUCAUACAGCAGCUGUGAUGAGUAUGAUGUCGAUUGUAUGGAGGAGCCUCCUAAGUCUACAAUAUCCAAAGACGAUGUGGGAGUUCAUCAGCCAGCUGUGCACAUCAGAGAAGAGAAUGGCUCAAGUAGUGGGAACAAAAAACGUCAUGAUAAACGCUCUACUCAAACACUGCCUAGUACUAAGGAAACUAAAAAACCACCAAAGCGAAGAAGACAUACCGGACAGUGUUCUGUUGAUGGGUCUGAGGUUGAAGGAACACAAAGAAAUGAUAAUAUGCCAGAGGUUUUGAGCAACGCAAUUCCGGAUAUGAAUAGCAAUCAGAUGGAGGUGGUCUGUGUCGCUAACCCGUUGACAAGCUUCAAUCAUGCCGGUACAAAUGGAGGAUCUUUACAACAUCAAGGAGAUGUUCAAGGGAACUUUGUACCCCCUGGUGUUGUGGUUAAUAAUUACAGCCAGGCUGCAAAUAUUGCUCCUUCAAGCAUUUAUAUGGUCGACCAGCCAUUAGCUUCUGAAAGUAAUGAUUACACAAACUCCUGGCCUGGAAAUACUUUUCAACCAGAUGUUGGUCUUGGAUCUAUUGGCUUUAGUUCUUCUUCACAUGAUUACCAGUCUUCUGCUGCAAAACACUCAGUACCACUACCUACGGAUAACCAUGUCCCUGCCAUGGGAACAGGAGCUUUGAACAGUUCUUACAGUCAUCAUAUGGCAGGUAGUGGGAAUUCAACUUCUGUUGCUGGUGACACGCAACAAAUCAUGAGUGAUGCUUUUUAUAUUGACCCCGAUGAUAAGUUUAUAGGCAGUUCUUUUGAUGGACUGCCUUUAGAUUUCAUCGGUAUUAAUAGUCCAAUCCCUGACCUCGAUGAACUCGAUGAACUGCUGGAUGACAAUGACUUGAUGCAAUAUCUGGGAACGUAA